rnacentral:rRNA from 1 species
AUCUCUGUAGAGUCUGCAUAUCAAUAAGCGGAGGAAAAGAAACUAACAAGGAUUCCCUUAGUAACGGCGAGUGAAGCAGGGAAGAGCUCAAAUUUGAAAUCUUCAAGGUUUUACCUUGACGAAUUGUAGUUUAAAGAAGUGUUUUCUGUUGAAGUUUCGGUAAAAGUUCUUUGGAAUAGGACAUCAUAGAGGGUGAGAAUCCCGUAUUUGACCAUUAUUUUCAGCUGUGUGAUACACUUUCAAAGAGUCGGAUUGUUUGGGAAUGCAGUCCAAAAUGGGUGGUAAAUUUCAUCUAAAGCUAAAUAUUGGCGAGAGACCGAUAGCGAACAAGUACCGUGAGGGAAAGAUGAAAAGAACUUUGAAAAGAGAGUUAAACAGUACGUGAAAUUGUCAAAAGGGAAGCGUUUGACACCAGUGUUGUUUUCUCGAAAAUCAAUUAAAAAUGGCUUGAUUUUGUGUUGUAUUGACCUUAAAAGCUUUCUUCACUUUUUUCAUGUCUUUUUUAAUGCACUUUUCGUUUAACAAGUCAACAUCAGUUUCUUUUGUUGUAAAAGAGUCAUUGGAAGGUGGCUUUCACUUCGGUGAAAGUGUUUAUAGCCUUUGGCUUCUGCAAUCGGAGAGAUUGAGGUCUGCAGCGUAGACCCUUCGGGGCUAGAUACGUAGAUGCUAAGUUAUAGUUUUUUAUAGACAACUUGUUGACUAUAAUUAAUCAUGUAGCUUACUCGUUUGCGCUAUUUUACCUACGCUUAGGAUGUUGAUCUGUAGUGCGUGCGC